GCCAGCAUGGGAUAGUGGUUUGAGCCUUGGACUAUAACUCUAGAGACCAGGGUUCGGUCCCCAGUUUGGCC